UUCGGUUCCGCUCGCUCCCAGCGCUAGGUCAGUGCCGCCGCCGCCCCUCCCUCAUCUCCCCGAUGGCUGCCACCACCUCCUUCCAUCCUUCCGCGCCCACCAUCCUCCCCUGAACGGAACGCGCCGCCCUCCCCGUCUCCCAUGGAUCUGACGCCGCCCCUGCAUCAAUCCAUCCGGCCGUCGCCACCCCUCCAUCCAUCCGGCUGUAGUCGUCCCUGCCUUCUCCGUCUGGCCGCUGAUGCAGGUUCCCCGUCUCCCCAUAAAGCCGGAUCCGUCACCGUCCAGGAGCUCGGCGGCCCGUACGUGGUUAGGAGCUUGGCGGCCUGUGGUCAGAGCUCAGAAGCUCGUCGCCCCGCCGUCCACGAAGUUCCUUCUCCACCUUAUGUGUUCCAAAUUCAGAUGCAUAUAGCAACCUCUUGCUAUCUAAUUGCACGGUUAUUGAAGGUUCUGGUUCUGGAUGCUUUGUCGGCAGUCCUCCCGUAGGAAUUGCUUGAUCUGGUGUUUGCUUCUUCUUUUUUACUCUCUUUUUUAGACAAGAGCUGAUGUUUGUUUCUAUGUAUCUAGCUACCGUGCAUGUUCAGAUGCUCGUCUAAAUUUCUAUGUAUUUAGUGAAUUAUCUUUGUUUUCCAAAUGGGUUUGUAGAGAUAUGCGUAGAUGAAUGAUCUACAGAUGCAGAUGUAUUCACAGAUAUGUGUGUGUGUACAGUAUUCAUCUACAGAUGCAGAUGUAUUCACAGAUACGUGUGUGUACAGGUGAAAAAAAUAAUGUUCAAGUCUUAUAGAUG
rnacentral:lncRNA from 1 species